rfam:Triticum aestivum genome assembly, contig: Triticum_aestivum_CS42_TGACv1_scaffold_249504_3DL
AUUCUACUCCCUCCGUCCCAAAUUAGUUGUCUUAGAUCUGUCAAGAUACAAAUGUAUCUAACACGUGUUAGAUACAUCCAUAUCUAGACAAAUCUAAGACAACUAAUUCGGGGCGGAAGUAAUAAAAG